rnacentral:rRNA from 1 species
CCUACGGGUGGCAGCAGUGGGGAAUAUUGCACAAUGGGGGAAACUCUGAUGCAGCGACGCCGCGUGCGCGAUGAAGUAUUUCUGUAUUUAAAGCUCUAUCAGCAGGGAAGAAAAUGACGGUACCUGACUAAGAAGCCCCGGCUAACUACGUGCCAGCAGCCGCGGUACUACGUAGGGGGCAAGCGUUAUCCGGAUUUACUGGGUGUAAAGGGAGCGUAGACGGCUGUGCAAGCCAGAUGUGAAAGCCCGGGGCUCAACCCCGGGACUGCAUUUGGAACUGUGUGGCUGGAGUGUCGGAGAGGCAGGCGGAAUGCCUAGUGUAGCGGUGAAAUGCGUAGAGAUUAGGAGGAACACCAGUGGCGAAGGCGGCCUGCUGGACGAUGACUGACGUUGAGGCUCGAAAGCGUGGGGAGCAAACAGGAUUAGAUACCCUAGUAGUC